AAAUAGAACUUUGCAGAGAGAGUUAACAGGGCGUGAAACCGUUAAUUGGCAAACGAAUCGGAGCCACGAAGUCGUUUCGUCGUUGAGUCGGGAUUGAGUUCAGCGAGCAUUUGGUAAAACAAGUGCGCGUGUAUUCUUAGUCUGGCCAACUUUGUAAGCGUACACUGCAACUAGUUAGACGAUUGGUUAUGGGCACAGCAAGCGAGCCGAGCAAUCGGCUUGUGAGCGAAGCGUUUGUUUGCUUACGCUAGCAGUGGCGCAGCAGUGCCUCGGUGCUGUUGUGUUGCUAAGCGUGCGGCAAGUGAACUAUGACCAAAUGCUGACUAGCGAAAUGAAAAUCGUCGCAAGACGUUAGAGACAAAACAGCUGAUUGGACGUGCGUCUACGCGUGCCGACUGUUGGGUUUAAGCUCGGCGCUUUUGAAUUUAGACUUGCUUGCUACCAGUGGGGCAACUCCUGGUGCUUGUACAGCUUCUAUCUAAUCGGGCGUUGACUUGAUUUAACAUUGUUCAGUCGCGAAUGAUUGGGCGUACGUUUAAACUAGUUGUAAUUUGAAUUGGCAGUGAGUAGGUCGGCUUUCCGAACGA
rnacentral:rRNA from 1 species